GGUUGCUAUCAUGUACUUUUCUAAUUACUACUCCAGGAUGAAACUUUGCAGCGCAAUUUUCUUUGUUGCUCUAGUGGCUUCACUGAAUCUUCAGUCGACUGAAGCAAGUGCCAAGCAAUGCUAUUGCACUUACAACCAAUACACUUGUUCAGAUUCAUCAAUGAUUGAAACUUGUGCACAUGGUGAUUGGAGUUGUAUCUCGGCUCAGAGUGUUGUCAAUGGUGUCACUAAGCACGUGAAGGGAUGCGUUGAGAGUGGAGAUCUUGAAGUGAAGAAAAACUGCGAUUAUAUUAACUCUUUGCCAGACGGCUCGUGUUACAUAUGCACCACGGAUCUUUGCAAUUCGGAAUAAAUUGUUUAAAAUUAGUGCUUGACUGAUUUAUUUCAAAGUCAUCUCGAUCAACAUCCGGUCAUUUUGCGAAUCACUUUUCCCAGAUUUUCGAUAACAAAAAUAAUUCGUUCUUAUCAGCUGAUAAAAAAGCUUGAACCAUUAUUAGUUUGUUCCAAAAAUGAAAGUGUCCACUGUGAUUUCGCUCACAGUUUUUAUUUUUUUGUGUUUUAGAACAACACAAGCCAAGGUUUCGCAGUGCUAUUCCUGCAACAAUACCUGUCAUGACCCUCUGGACAUUGAAAAUUGUGUAGCACCUGAGAGGUUUAACUACAGAUGUCUCUCCUCAACAUCGAAAAUUCCUUAUGGUAAAGAUAUUGAAAUCAAAGGCUGCGUCUUGAGUGAUGAUGAAUACAUUAUAGAAAAAUGUGAGCAAUUGAGCAAGUGUUACAUGUGUGAUACGGAUCUUUGUAACUCAGCUGGUGCUUACUUACCGUCAUUCCUUGUAUUGUUUACUUCACUGUUAUUUUUAUUGUGAGUUAAGUCAAAAUAUGGAAGUUGUCCAACAAUUAAUAAAUUGAUUAGAAUAAUAAACAAUUUUUUUCUCUGGGGGUCACACUUAUCGCGAUUAUAAAUUCGGAAACAAACAAGUUUUACUAGAAUUCAACGAACUUUCAGUCAUGAAUUUCGCGUUUCUUGUCCUCUUGUGUGCCGCAAUUUUCGCCCAAACUUGCGUCAAGGGUAGCGGCGUUUCGAAGUGUUAUUUUUGCCAAGACUCGUGUCAGGAGCCUCCAAAAACCGUAAAUUGUCCUUCUGGGGGGCGUUGCAUGGCUAAUGGAGUCAUCUAUGAUAGUGAGCAUCGGAUCGAGCAAAGAACAUGCAUGGUUGCCAAUAGCACACUUGUGGAGAAAUGCGCCAAACUCAACGAAACCAAGGACGCGUUUUGUUAUUUUUGCGACACUGAUCUUUGUAAUUCUAAAGGAUUUUAAAUAAAUUACCUUACCCAAAA